rnacentral:misc_RNA from 1 species
UUAAGCACCAACUAGAUUAGGGUUUAGAAAGGCAAAAUGGGAGUGUCUAAUUAGGAAUUAGAGUUGUCUUGGGGUAAACAUCUAAUUCUCUCUCUUUCUAUAUAUAAAUAACCCUAAGAUUUUUAGAUCUGCUUCUCAAACUAUUGCUCUCACUGCUCCCUCUGUCUCUAGGGCUUUCUUCCUCUCAUCAAUCCAUGGCUCAAUCAAUGGCCGAGGAGCAGACGGC